AAUUACCUGCCGCCGGGUGGGUUGUAAGCAUGGUUAUCAUUCCGUUAGGUCGUUGUCGGAAUGGUAGCGAUGCUUUAUUUUUU
rnacentral:ncRNA from 1 species